rnacentral:rRNA from 1 species
GAUGAACGCUGGCGGCGUGCCUAACACAUGCAAGUCGAGCGGUCAGGCCAUUCGGGGUACACGAGCGGCGAACGGGCGAGUAACACGUGGGUGAGCUGACCUGCACUUCGGGAUAAGGCGGGGAAACUGGGUCUAAUACCGGAAAUGACCUCCUUUCGCAGGGCGGGUGGGGGAAAGAUUUAUCGGUGCAAGUUGGGCCCGUGGGCUAUCAGCUUGCUGGUGGGGUAAUGGCCGACCAAGUCGACGCCUGGUAGGCGACCUGAGAGGGUGAACGCCGACACUGGGACUGCGGCAGGGCGCAGUCGCCUACGGGACGCAGCAGGCGGGAAUAUUGCACAGUGGGCGCGAGCCUGAUGCAGCGGCGCCGCGAGAGUGAUGACGGCCUUCGAGUUAUAAACCUCUUUCUGCGGGGACGAAGCGCUAGUGACGGUACCUGCAGAAGAAGCCACGGCUAACUACGUG